rnacentral:misc_RNA from 1 species
AACUGUAUCUCCCUCCCGGUCAGACCUCUCAGUCCUCCCACAAGGGUGGGGCAUCUUUUCUCCGAUCCCUCGUGGGUUUUUCCUGGUUCCUGUGUUGCGUGCCCAUGGAAUGGUAGUUGGGAGUCCCAUUGUCCCUAUUCAAUUGAUGUCUCCCUAGGCCUCCUGGCAGAACUUUAGGCGUGUCCCUGUGUCCCUAGCACGCUCUGCACCUUGUGGUGCUUCUGUGGUCGCAUGAUUCUCUCACCUAUCCCAUCGAAUGUGGAAGAAUCAUGUGGGCUCGGGGUGUCUGUCCCUAAUCUGUCCAUCCAAAGUGUUUUGUCGCUCAAUAUGUCUGACAUCCUCGUGGUGUCAUGCCCUCCCUCGUCCCCAUGUGGGCUCAUCAGUAGACGGUUCGGCGUCAUAGGCAUCAUAGAGGAAUGCUACAUGGUUGAUCCUGCUAGUAGUCAUAUGCUUGUCUCAAAGAUU